GCCAACUGCUUAAGAUCCCCUAGAGCUGAU
rnacentral:piRNA from 1 species